rfam:Salmo salar isolate Sally breed double haploid chromosome ssa18, whole genome shotgun sequence.
UGCAUUCACUACUGUAAGUCGCUCUGGAUAAAAAUGGAUAAGAGCGUCUGCUAAAUGACUAAAA